GAAAGAAAAAUGUAGAGGAUGAGAAAAAUAAGAAAAUAACUUCUCCGCGUCUUGUUUGAAUAAAAGGAGAAAAGGGAAGAAAUGAAAUUGUUUUAUGGAAGAUAAAAUUAUAUGUUUAUCCAUCCACUUUUUUAAAUAAAUUUAUUAUAGGGGUAUAUUAGUAAGUUUCAGCAUUUCCUCUCGGUUUCUCUCUAUAGUUUGGAGAGAGAACUUUUUGUAGGUCCCACAUAUUUUUCCACUCAUAAUUUCCCUCCCCCCAAUUUCUUUCAUCUUCCAAACAAGGAAUAUUAUGAACUAUUCCCUAUUUUCUUUCCUUCCAUUUUGUACCCUCUCCAAUAAAGGUUAAUGCUGG
rnacentral:misc_RNA from 1 species